UAAGAACCCUCAUCCAAUGGGGUUGAUGCGAACCAGGUCAGGUCCUAGCGGAAGCAGCCUUAAGUAUUAAUCUCAUGUGGAUGAGGGUCCCUAAGG
rnacentral:SRP_RNA from 1 species